GAACUCCUCAGAGGGCACCACCCUGGACAGAAUGGUCCUGGAGUUCCUCCCUUCUCCCAGCAGGGCAGGAGUUUAUUUAAAGUACAAGACUGUGGGAAGGUGUGCCGCUGAGAAGAGAGACACUGAAAAGGUGCACCAGUGCAAUGCCUGCUGUUUGAGGAAAGCCUGAUGACUCCUUUACAGUAACAGGCAUGAACCUAAGGCCUGGCAUGCAACCAGCAUUGCACUCCCUGAGAGCCUUCCACAAAAACACAGAACUGGCCCAUGCUCUCUCGCUCUCUCAGCCUCUUGACCUCCCUGUCUCCAGUGAUCUACAUUCCUGCUCUAAUCUCAGUCAUCACUCCUGCUCCCCCUCCAGAACCAGGAAGUUAAAAUCCCCAGGCUCUGACCACCAACUGCUCACUUUCCAAAUUGCUGGCCAACCCCAUGUGCCCCAAGGGUAGGGGCAAAUUUGUAAAUUCAGCUCGAUGUUAAACCAUAAACCAUUAAACCAUUAAACCAAUUACAUAAAA
rnacentral:lncRNA from 1 species